AAAGGUAAGCUACUAAGAGCGAAUGGUGGAUGCCUUGACUGGUAAAGGCGAUGAAGGACGUACUAGACUGCGAUAAGCUACGGGGAGCUGUCAAGAAGCUUUGAUCCGUAGAUUUCCGAAUGGGGCAACCCAAUGUAUAGAGAUAUACAUUACCUAUAUAGGAGCGAACGAGGGGAAUUGAAACAUCUU
rnacentral:rRNA from 1 species